UACUAAUGAACUUUAGUUAGUUGAAAUUGGAGAGAGGAGAUGAUUGGAUAGGAGUACUACUCUAUUCAUUUACCUCCCAGUCUACAGUA
rnacentral:snoRNA from 1 species